rnacentral:lncRNA from 1 species
CCUUCUGUUGGUCUUUGAGUGUUGCUGACAGGUGAAGCUACAAUACAGUUCAAAUUGGGUGAAGCUUUGGAGGUGGAAGAAGUGGGGAAGCAAGAGGCUUUCUGCGGUGGAGAAACCACAAGGCCUUGUGUUGGUCUUGGAUUGUUGGUGACAGAUGAAGUUACAAUAUGGUCCAAAUUGAGUGAAGCUUUGGAGGUGGAGGAAGUGGGGAAGCAAGAGCCUUUCUGCGGUGGAGAAACCACAAGGCCUUUUGUUGGUCUUGGAUUGUUGGUGACAGGUGAAGCUACAAUGUUGGAACAGGAUUCUGUUGGGGAAGGAAGCAGGGGAUAAGCCUGGUGAUUCUG